CCAUGUCCGCUAACACCUAGCAUGCAUUGAAUUCCAGUCUCUUCACUCCUGAGCCUCAGUUUCCCCGGGUGACAGCAUGUCAUGGAGUCCUCAGAAUUGCCAUAGCAACAGGCCACUGGGCAGAUUAAACCAUUAUGGGUCUGGACACUG